rnacentral:rRNA from 1 species
GACGAACGCUGGCGGCGUGCUUAACACAUGCAAGUCGAACGGAAAGGCCCUGCUUUUGUGGGGUGCUCGAGUGGCGAACGGGUGAGUAACACGUGAGUAACCUGCCCUUGACUUUGGGAUAACUUCAGGAAACUGGGGCUAAUACCGGAUAGGAGCUCCUGCUGCAUGGUGGGGGUUGGAAAGGUUCGGCGGUUGGGGAUGGACUCGCGGCUUAUCAGCUUGUUGGUGGGGUAGUGGCUUACCAAGGCUUUGACGGGUAGCCGGCCUGAGAGGGUUACCGGCCACAUUGGGACUGAGAUACGGCCCAGACUCCUACGGGAGGCAGCAGUGGGGAAUAUUGCACAAUGGGCGGAAGCCUGAUGCAGCAACGCCGCGUGCGGGAUGACGGCCUUCGGGUUGUAAACCGCUUUCGCCUGUGACGAAGCGUGAGUGACGGUAAUGGGUAAAGAAGCACCGGCUAACUACGUG